AUUGAACGCUGGCGGCAUGCUUUACACAUGCAAGUCGAACGGUAACAGGCCUUCGGGUGCUGACGAGUGGCGAACGGGUGAGUAAUGCAUCGGAACGUACCCAGAGGUGGGGGAUAACGCAGCGAAAGCUGUGCUAAUACCGCAUGUGAUCUGAGGAUGAAAGCGGGGGACCGAGCAGCAAUGUUUGGCCUCGCGCCUUUGGAGCGGCCGAUGUCGGAUUAGCUAGUUGGUGGGGUAAAGGCCUACCAAGGCGACGAUCCGUAGCUGGUCUGAGAGGACGACCAGCCACACUGGGACUGAGACACGGCCCAGACUCCGACGGGAGGCAGCAGUGGGGAAUUUUGGACAAUGGGCGCGAGCCUGAUCCAGCAAUGCCGCGUGCGGGAAGAAGGCCUUCGGGUUGUAAACCGCUUUUGGCAGGAACGAAACGGUGUCCGCUAAUACCGGGCGCUAAUGACGGUACCUGCAGAAUAAGCACCGGCUAACUACGU
rnacentral:rRNA from 1 species